CAGUUCUUGCAACAUUGCUUGUGGAAGAAAUUGUAAGCUUAUAUUUGGAUCAAUUAAUUGAAGGAGUGAUUGGAAAAGGAUUUGAGGUGAGAUUGAAUGUGGAUAGUAGAGCAUGUAGUGAGUGCCUGGAAUCCAAGGGAGUAUGUGGUUAUGACCUCGGUUUGAAUCAAACGACUUGCUACUGCAAAGAUCAAAUUCAAGCCUCCAAAACAUGUACUUCCCCAACAGGUGACGUCUGAACACCCCAGGAAUCUUUCCCUCCAGGUACGCAUCACAAUGUCAUGUUUUAUUUCAUACCCUUAGGCAUUAGUUAAGAUUCAUAUAUAGCACAGCACCCACACACAUGACAAAUCUACAAGGUUUAGUGAACCAAGGAAAAAUCUUGGAGUCUAUACAGAAAAAAUGGUGUCUCAAUUCUCAAACAAUCCUUCAGUUUGUAUUCAUUGUACGAAACCAAAUUAGAUGGAUACAACUCUUUAAAAGGGAGUUAAAAGAAAAUCUGGAAGACUUCCCUAAUUGGUUGGGGGAGCCCCAAUGGAAGCAGAAUUUGCACAUUCCAUGAUCAGUUUAGUACCUUUUCUACUGUUUGAAAAGUAGAUAUCCACUUUGAUUAGUUGAGCUGGCAAGUGGAUCUAUGGUCGAUCAAUUUUUACAAACAUUUUACCCAAUAGAUUAACAUAUUUAAAUAUGAAAAAGAAAUAUAUCAAUACGACACUACACUCCAUGAUAAGGGAAUCUUAUUUUGGGUACCCAUAGGGGGGCUUUUUUUUUACUUGUACGGCUAUUUUAAAAAAUAAUUCUUAAAAAAUGAUAAUUUGAAAAAUAAUUCUUAAAAUAUGGUACUUUGAAAAAUAAUUUCAAAUUUACGACACUUUUUAUCACUUUGAAAGGUAUUUCUUGAAGAGACACCUUCUAUAUUUUUCAUAUCAACCAUAAAUGUUAAAAAAAAUUGAAUUUACAUUAAAGGUAUCUCUUGCAGAGACACCUUUCAUAAUUCUAUAAAAUUGAAUAUAUGUUAAAGGUGUCUCUUCAAAAGGUAUUUUUUCAUAUUUUUUUGAUUAGUCAUACACGUUAAAAAAAAAUUGAAUUUAUACUAAAGAAAUGUCAUUUCCAAAAUACCAUAAAAUCAAAUUAAUACUAAAGGUGUCUCUAAAAGAGACAUCUUUGAUAAUUUUAUAUCAGUUACAUAGUGAAAAAAAUUGAAUUUACAUUGAAAGAGUCUAUACAAUUCCAUAAAAUUGAAUUUCUACUAAAAGUGUCUCUUGAAGGAAAACUUUUCAAUAUAAAUUUAAUUUUAUGGAAUUGUGAAAUGUGUCUUUUGAAAAUACACUUUUUGUAUAAAUUCAAUUAUUUCAAUGAAUGACUGAUGCAAGAAUUGUUGAAGGUGUCUCUUGAAGAAACACCUUUAAUAUAAAUUUAAUUUUAUAAAAUUGUAGAAAGUGUGUCUUAAGAAGACAUCUUUAGUAUAAAUUCAAUUUUUUUUAUUAUGCAACUGAUAUGAAAACUGUGAAAAAUAUCUAUUUAAAAGACAUUUUUAAUAUAAAUUCAAUUUUGUAGAAUUAUAAAAGGUGUCUUUUGAAGAGACACUUUUAAUGUAAAUUCAAAUUUUUUUAACGUGUAUUAUUGAUAUAAAAAUUGUGGAAGGUGUCUCUUGAAAAGACACCUUCAAUGUAAAUUCAAUUUUUUCGAACGUGUAUCAUUUAUAUAAAAAUGAUGUAAUUUCAAGAGACACCUUUAGAAAUGACAAAAAGUGUCGUAGAUAUAGAAAUAGUUUUCAUUGUACUGUAUUUUAAAAAAAUAAUUUUAAAUUCACUGUACAAUUAUCAAAAAUCCCCCUUAUGGGGGUCUUUUUAUUAAGUAGUGCAAGUCAUGGGAUUUCAUAAGUGGAUGUAAUUGUUAGAAAGAACCAAUAUAUUGUUAGAACAGCUAUUGUUCAUUGGGUUUGGACAUUGGAUGUUGCCCGAACUCCUUUGGUUACUACGGAUACAACUAUUAUUUACCAAGUUCGGAUACUGGAUGCUUCCCAAACUUCUCUUCUUUGGCCAUUGUUGGUGCAACUACUACUAUUUACCAAGUUCAGACACUAGAUGCUACUUGAAUUUCGAUUCUUGGGUCACUGUCGGUGCAAAUAUUGUUUGUUAAAUUCGGAUACUAGAUGCUGUCCGAACUUCUGUUCUUUGGUCACUGUUGGUGCCAUUACUUUUUGUCUAGUCUGGAUGAUGGAUGCUGCUAGAGCUUCUGAUCUUUGGUCACUAUUGAUGCAGCCACUAUUUGUCGAGUUUAGACACUAGAUGCUACUCCAACUUUUGUUCUUUAGUCAAUUUUGUAUUAGGUGAACCUUUGCUCCUUGGUGGUUUUGUUGUUGAGUGGGAUAACUUUGGUUGGGUUGAUUUGGACAUUGGGGUGUUGGCUAAACCUUGGCUCUUAUGUUGCUCCACUUGGUUGUUGAAGGAAGAUCCAGGGAACCUUAGAAGUUCCCAUUUCGACGGUGAAGUGAAAACUUCAAACAAAUAGAAGGAAUGAGAAAAUGAAGUAAAGAGAGAACCCUUUUAGAGGGGGCAGAUUGCCCCCUCUUCCUAAUUUUCUUUUUUAUCCUUUAUAUAGCAUCUUUGAAGAGGUAAAUUAAGAAUAUUGUUUAGGUCAAUCACAUAGGACAAGUGACACAUUCUGGCUGGAUGAGCAAUUCCAUAACAUAGUGAGAUGGUUGAUAGUUCCUGUAAGGGGGCACCUAUACUCAAAGUGCUAGUUUCGUUGCCCUAUCAGGAAGAGUUGGAGGUUAGUUGUGUUUACCUUAUCAUCUUUACAAGUCAAUGCACCAAGCAAUGAUGGCCAACUUCUAAUGGUCAUACCUGAUCAUGAUACCCGAUCAAGGCAUACGAUUUGCAUUCCGGAAAUUGUCUAGAAGACCAAGGUGGUUGGUAUUCUCGACUGUCCCUCUCUUUUUCCACAUAGCGCCCACAUUGACGUAGCCAUGGGAGGGAAAAUUUGUUUUGAAUAAUUUUCUUUCCUUUCACACCCCUAAUACUUUGCAUGUUUAUACAUUGGGCAUUAAGUUGCCAAGGAGCUCUUAAGCUCUUGUUUAGCUAUUAGGAUGAUUAGAGGCCUUUAGAAUUAAGUUGUCGUGACAAACCUCUUAGGCUCUUACCCGACUAUUAUGAGGCUAAUUAGCGGCCUUAUCUUUACGUGUUUGGGAGAGUUUUUUAAAGCUCCUACCUAAACUAGGCCACUUGAGGUUGUAUCUUUACUUAUCCGGGGUGUUUGAAGCUUUUAGUUAGACUAGGCCAAUUGAGGCCUUAUCUUUAUGUGUUCAAGGGGCAUUUUGAAGCUCCUACCCAAAUUAGAUCACUUGAUGCCUUAUCUUUAUGGUGCAUGGGGCAUUUUGAAGCUCCUACCCAAAUUAGAUCACUUGAUGCCUUAUCUUUAUGGUGCAUGGGGCAUUUAAAGCUCAUACCAUGAUUGAGUCACUUGAGGCCUUAUCUUCAUGUGUCUAAGGGCAUUUUGAAGGUCUUAUCCUAACUAAGCCACUUGAUGUCUUAUUUUUACAUGUCCAUGUGUGUUUGAAGCUCCUACCCGUAGUAGUGCAGGACUAGGCAACUCAUUGUCAAUGCAUCAAACGUAACUAGAUGAUAAGGUGGGUAGCAUGACUCCAUUAGGCAUACGCCAACCUAAGCUCGUGUCAACCUUUGGUUUGCUUUGUGCUAGUCAUGCUAGGUAGCAUUUUACCCCAUGGAGCCAGAUUGAGGGAUGCUAACCAUUUGGGUCUGAAGUGUCUUGUUCUCUCUUCAUGGCUUCUUAAUUAUGUGAAAUAACUCUUCUAGUUGUCUAUUGUUCUUUGCAUAUUAGGCUUUCAACUCAGCCGAUAAGACCAAUCAUUACUCCUUAGUUACUAGGGUCGAAAGAUCAUUCUUCCUCAACAUUAAGAUUAGAAUAGGUGGUCAACAUCAUGAUGCUACUUAAGGCUUUCCUAUCUAGUUUCUCAUAGAUGAUGCCAAUUAUCGAAAUAUUUAUUGUUUGCCAAGUUUGGACAUUGAAUGCUACUUGAACUUCUAUUCUUUGUUCACUAUUGAUGCAACUAUUAUUUGUUUGAGUUCAAAUACUACAUGAUAACUUAUGUUUAUCAAUCAUCUAUUAGUGUAGCUACUUUUUUUGAGUUUAGACAUUGGAUGUUGCUUGAACUUAUGUUCUUUGAUCACUUACAUAUUGUACAAACCUUUUUCUCCUAGGCGGUUUUUACUAUUGAGUACUAUGAUAACUUUGAUUAGGUUGAUUUGGACAUUAGUGUGCUUAUCGAAGCUCCACUCUAAUAUUGUUCUACUCAGUUGCUAAGGAUAACCUAUCACACAAGAAAGAUCCAAGGAGACCUCAAAAAUUCCCCACCAAUGAUCAAGUUAAACUUUAAGCAAAGAGAAUGAACAAGAAUAUGUAAGGAGAGAAUCAUUUUAAAGAGGGGAGGUGGUCCUCGUCUUCCUCAUUUUUUAGUCCACUAUAUAGUAUCUCAUAAGAGGUAGAUUAGGAAUACUACAUGGGCUUAAGAAAGGUCAUCAUAAGUCAAAAUGAAUUUCCCAUUAAGUGUUUAGAAUACUCAUUACCCCUAUAAUCCCCAAUUGUCAAAUUGGAUGGCCUCAUUGAGCUUAACAUCUCAUCUAUUUGUUCAAAAUGACUUUCCCAUUAAGUAUUUGAGAUACCCAUUGAGACCCUAUAAUCGCCAUUUGUCAAAUAAUGAGAUAUGAUGCUUUCUAGCAAAUAAGAAGGAAUCAAUUAACAAGUUACUUUGAAUUAUGAAUGCAUUAUGAGCAUAGUCAUUCCAAUGGAAGAAAGGAAAGUCCUAGAGCACCCUUUCCCUAACCUGAAUAACUACUCAAUAGAUAUUGAAUGGAAAUUAACUUGAAAAAGUAAAAUAAAAAGCAAGAAAUUGAAUGCAAAGACAUUAAAUCAAAUAUGAAAUUAUAAUGAUUGUGAAACCAAGGUUUGGUUAAUCUUGAUUUUGAUGAUAACAAAACAAGGUUUAGAACUAAUGAUCAUAUUUCAAGUGUGAUUAGGCAAGACGACUUCCAAAGUGACAAUCCAAAGACAAAUCAAGCCAAUGAGAAAUCAUGAAGAAGAAAACCACCUCAAAGAGAAGAGUUUUUUCAAGACCAAAGCUUCUUAAGAUCUCUUUGUAAGGUUGUUGGUGCACUAGGACUUUCAUGCAUUUCAUUCUUUAUUUAUGCACCAAAAUCAUCCAAGAGUAAUAAUGUUUUAAAUAUAUUUAAAAUUGGAUGAUUUCAUGUUUUCAACUAAAACCUUGUGUUAAAUAAAUUUCAAACUUGUGUUAAAAGGUUUUAAGUUGAAAAACGUUGGGUGUUGAGCCAAAAAAUGGCUCAACCGGUUCAACCAGUCGAGGAACCGGUCAACCAGUUGUGCUCGUCCAGUCGAGUACUCGUCGAGGAGGCCAAAAAGUUUUUCUCUCUCCCAAUGGCCUUCUCUUCCCGAUUGAGGUAAUUCUCUUCCCGAUCGAGGCCCGGUCGAAGACCGAUCGAGGUCCGGCUGAGACCCAACGGUCACUUGCCAAACAUUUAAUGCUAACGGCUAGUCAACCGGUCGACCCAUAGUUCGAUCGGAUGAACCCCCAAACGGCUAGUUUGGAUUUUCUCUUCUAUAAAAAGGCUCCAAUGUUCAUUGUUUCAUAAGCUUAACCUUCCCAAAUCAUUCUUGAUUAUAUUUAAGCCUUGGAAGAGUGUUUUUAAGUGCACCAUUGUUUCAUAACUUGCAUAUCUUUAGUGCACCAUUCAAUCCUAGUUUUUCUUGUAUCAUUUGAGCUUAAAGCUUAUACUAGGAUUUUGUGAGAUCAAUUAUUUGUAAACCUUGAGAGGAAGUUUCAAGAGUGGGAUAUCUCUUGAGAAUUGUAAAGGGUGCUUGGAGCCAAAAGUCCAAGAGGGUGAAUUGGAACCAUAAUCCAAUUGUAAGAAGAUUGGAAGCUUGGUUGAAGCUUCAAGCUAGUGGAACCCUCACUCGAUUAGGAGGUUGAGGAGAGUGGAUGUAGGUCGGGUUGCGUCGAACCACUAUUAACUCUUGUGUUUGCAUUCUCUCUUCCCUACUCUUUUAAUUUAUAUGCAAUUGUCUUUAUUUUGCUUAUAAUAUACUUGCAUAUAAAUUGUCUCUUACUUUGGCUUAGUUUAAAUUUGAAAAAGAGACCAUCACCCUAUUCACCCCCCCCCCCCCUCCCCCCCUCUAGGGUGAUUAUCAUAGGUUGGAUUAGCCUCAAAUUCCUAACAAUGAUCAGUGAUGUUAAAAAAAUUAAUUAUGCAUUAAAUAAAAACCAAUUCAAGAUAAAUAAAAUAAACGAAAGCAACAACAAGAAAAUAAAAAAUAAAUAAAUAACCUAAAAAUAAAAAUUUAUCCAAGAUCCCAUCUUCCUAAGGUUGACGAUAAGAACUAAGGAAGAAUGUGCAAGAACUCACCCUUAAGGCAAAAGAUUUGAACCCACUUAAUAGUUGCUCAUUUCCUCUUUUAUGUCUUUCCUAAGCAAGCCUUAAGUUACUUAUUCCUAGAGGUUUUUCCCAAACUCAAGGGCUCAAGAUUGGUUGAAAUUAGUCACCCACUUUGGCCCAACCCAUUCCUUCAUUUUAAAACAAUUAAAAUAGCUCUCAUGCAAUCACGUGAGUUUUGAUACCAAAAUGGUGGUUGUAGGUGGUGAGGCCCUUUGUGGUGCAUUGGAACUUCCCUCGUCUUUCUCUAUAUAGUUUCUUAGACAAACAAUCUCCAAAGUUUCUAGAAUUUAGUUAGAUUUAAGUUUGAAAAGUGAAGAAUUUAACAAAAUUUGUUUUACAUCAAUUGAACAUAUUUAACCCCUUUAAACACCUCAAAACAUUUUAUUGAUCAUAUAGAUACUUGAUAAUUCCUUGCAAAUUCUCUUCAUAUAUAGAAUGUUAGAGAAGGAUUUUGAGAUCUUCUUUAUUUGCGAAGUAUAAUCGUAAACAUAAAAGACUUAAAAAAAAAACAUGGGAAAAUUGAACAUAGACAUAAUUACUUAAUUGUAAGGUAAUUUUAAUAUUGAAAUUAAGUAAAAGAUGUGAUCAUCAUCCCAGUUUUUAUACGCAAUAAUCACCCCUUGUGGAGGAGUUGGAGGUCAGUUGUAGGCGCCUUGUACUUUAAUACAAGUCAAUGCACCAGACAAUUGUGACUAACUUUGACUGUUGAUGCUCAAUCAUGCUGUCCGAUCAAGGAAUAAGGUUCAAAAGUUUGGAAAUUAUCCGGGAGACGUAAGUGACCGACCCCCUCAUAGCUGCCCGAAAGAUGUAGGUGGCCGACUCCCCCACCUAUCAAGUGCAGAUUUCGGGCAUAGAGACCUUGUUAGCCGCCCUAAUCUAAUGAAAUUCUAGCAAAUACUUGUAUUUUCUUUAAAUUUAUAAAUGCCCUAAUUGUCUUGUCAAAGUCUGAUCAAUACAAUAUAUAGACUUUGGCGCCUUCUUGAACCCCGUUCAUAUUUUCUCUGGGUUAUGAUCGAACUACACAUUCAAGAGUCCUCACUACUGUUAUGUAACUAUGCCAUAGAAGACAGAUGAAUACGUGGAUUCCACUUGGCGUUAAUUUCCAAUCAUGAGCAAUAUUUUGGGCACUACACGCAAUCCCCAUAGUCAAAACUCUGAUAUUUUUUUAGCCAAAUUUACUUAGUCAAAACUCGUCACCAUCAGAAAUAAGACUUCUUUCAUCUUAAUUCAUCUCCGUCAUUCUCCUCUCAAAUAUCUCAUCAGACCCCUGUAGAGAUCCCCCCCCCCCNNNNNNNNNNNNNNNNNNNNNNNNNNNNNNNNNNNNNNNNNNNNNNNNNNNNNNNNNNNNNNNNNNNNNNNNNNNNNNNNNNNNNNNNNNNNNNNNNNNNCCCCCCCCCCCCCCCCCCCCGAUGACACGUGGCAUGCAGUGCUGUCCGGAUCAACUCUAUCCGUACCCCCCAAGAGGACAUGUGGCGCGCACAUCUAUUCGGGUUCCCCAAGGGGGGCAUAUGGCAAUCUCAAAUAUCAUACUCGGGCGAUGCUCUAUCCUAUCAGUACCUAUUGUCCGGAUCAUUGACUGUAACGAGCAAGCCUUGCUGAGUCAUCCCUGACAGCCUGCCACAGCCCACGUUCCACCGCCUGCAGAGCGAAAGAACAGGAGUGAUGGCAAGUCACCUCCCACGAUCUCUGACAGCCGCCUACAGGGUGAUGAUGACCCUGCCACCAUCUUGAGGACAUCAUGACAAGCUAAAAAGUCUUCCCACCAUUACAGAGGAGAGCAGAGCUUCUGACAUUAUAUAAAAGGGCCUUCACACAAGAAAGAAGGUAAGCCUAAGACCCUAAAAAAGCCAAUAGUUUGAUCUCUUAAGCCAUGACUAACAAAACCAUCGGAGGGUGUGUCUGGACAUCCUGUCCGAACAUCUUUUGCAGGAUCGACUGAGCCAGAACUCCUUCUUGGUUGAUAGCACGCAUCCACUUGGCAGCAGCAGGGAUCCCUGGGACAUGAGGUAUCAACAUUGGCGCCGUCUAUGGGAACUCUCUGAUUUUGUCGACAGCAAAGAUGUCUACACCUUCCAGAAGCCGCUUGUCGGUUAGGGGAGACGAAGAUUAUUUCGAAUGGCGCGAAGCCAUCGAAAGGAGACAGUUGGAGAGCGAGCGACAAAUGCAGGCUCUCUUCUAGGAAACAGUGAGACUGAGAGAAGAAAAUGUUGUGUUACGUAUCCAAGCUUCAUCGACGGGACCUUCUCGUGGUCAACGCUUAAGAGGCCAAGGAGCAAACUCAAGGCCUGACCCAGAGUCAAUAUACCCUGAGACUGUGGGGGUCAUCCCCGAGACGGGCAAUGUUAGACCACAAGAACGGCACACGCCCAUGCACCAAGCCCCCUAGGAGGAAAGCUCAGACUCUACUCGUCUCUCAUCAAAGAGACAACGCGAUAAAAGACCCCAGUUGUCGGACGCAAUGCGCACGAGGCUAGGCCCACAGGAACCUGGGAAGACAAGGCCGCCAGUAGCCAUAACCUGGGGAACGCACCCUGAUCCCCUGGUCACACCCAUGGUGCAGAACGUCAUCUCGUACCAAGCAGUACAACAAGCUGGGAGAAACCCCCCAAACGAGCCACCCACUGGCUCCAUCAGCAAAAAGCUGGAUGACACGCUCUCCACGCCUUUUUGCCCACAUAUUAUUCAUUACGACCCCCCAAGGGGAUUUCUCGUGCCUAAAUUUUCCACGUACGAUGGGUCCAACGACCCCUUCGACCAUAUCAUGCAUUAUCGACAGCUCAUGACUCUCGAUAUAGGAAACGACGCGCUGCUAUGCAAAGUAUUCCCCGCCAACCUACAAGGGCAGGCUCUCUCAUGGUUUCACCGCCUACCCCCCAACUCUGUUGAUAAUUUCAAGGACCUAUCGGAAGCUUUUGUGGGAUAAUACUUAUACUUCGCUCGGCAUAAACAGAACAUCAACACUCUGCAAAAUAUAAAAAUGCAGGAGAAUGAGUCUUUAAGAGAGUUUGUGAAGCGGUUUGGUCAGGCCAUCUUACAAGUAGAGGCUUACAGCAUGGAUGCUGUCCUUUAGAUCUUCAAAUGAAACAUUUGUCCAGGUACCCCAUUCUUCGAAUCGUUCGCUAAGAAGUCUCCUAAGACGAUGGACGACUUGUUCCGGCGCGCGAGCAAAUACUCAAUGCUGGAGGACGACGUGCGCGCAGCCACCCAGCAAAUCUUGGUUGCCGGUCAAACAUCCAGAAGUGGUGCGGAAAGAAGUUCCAAACUUCCGGACCGGCCAAGGCCGUCCGGCCGAAGGCAGGAAGAACAAAGCCGCCCAGAACGGCCAUCCCUCACACCCCUUUCCAUAUCCUACAAGAAGUUCCUCUCUAUGAUCCAAGACCUGUCCGACUUCAGGUGGCCCGGACCCCUCAGAGCAAACCCAGCCCAAAGGGAUCAUAGUAAGAAGUGUGCCUACCAUAAGGAACACGGUCACACUACGGAGACAUGCAGGAGCCUCCAUUAUUUGGUGGAAAAACUCAUACAGGCGGGACAUUUGAAGCAAUACCUCCGCUCAAACGCCAGAGUUAGAGACACUUCCCGAAAUCACAACUCAAGAACCCCUAGGAUCUCAGCCGCCCCCAAAGCCAUUAUAAACUAUAUCCAUGGAGGACCACUGGAUGAGGAGUACAACUUCAAACGAAAGAGAAUGAGGCUGUUGCAGGCAGCAUCGGUACGUGAGCGCGUCAACUCCAUACGGCCUGGGAUAGUUGGUGGGGGCCUGAUUCGACUCAUGGUAGCUUAGCUUUAAAGGCGUAUCAACAAAAUUUAUACCUUAGAUACUAUUACUAAAGUAGCCAAGCUACUAUAGCAUAGUGGUUCUAGGAUCGUUCACUGGGAAGGGUUUUCGCAAACACUAGUGAUAUUCAAAUUAGGAAAAUAAGUGAUUUUCUUAUGGAUGUUAGCUUUAAAAGAAGAUGUAAAUGUUUUAGAAAGAUUUAAACUAAUCUAAGCUAACAUUAAAGACUAAAAUGAAAGGGUGUAAAAACAAGUUUCUCAAAGAUAGGAUAGCUAUGCUCUGGCUAUUAUGCAAAUUGGAAAUCUUAGGAUAGGCUCCUCGAGUUGGGGUUGCAACUAUGGUGAUGCUUGCUUCCUGAACCGAUAUGGGUUUAGCAAAUCAAGUUUUAAUCCUUUAAAAUGGCAAAACAGAUGGUAGUGAAUUUCAUCAAUGGUUAUUCACCUUAGACUUCCUUUGAAUGGCUCGUAAGAGAUAACUUAUGGUCUAAAGCCAAAAGCUUACCAAAUAUUGGCAACUCAAAGUCAUUCCAAGUGAUAAACUCCCCUUUCAAUGGCCAUUGAAAUUGGUUCUAACAGAUUAAUGCAAAACUUGGAAUUGAAAACCUCACCUUCCAAUAGCUCGUAGGAGAUAACUAAUGGAUAGAAAUCCAAAAGCUUAUCAAGUAUUGGCCGUUGGAAGUUGUCCAAAGGAAAUAAAAACCAAACUUUGCAUUAAUGAACCUUUAAUGAAAAACGACUACCUUACCUUCCGGGUGCGAGAAAUUUCCAUGGGAUUGCAUCCAAGCCAUCACAUAACAUCCAUACUUUGAGAAACUAAAAGUUUUAGCCAAUCAUCAUCUGAGGAAAAGCCCUCAGAGGCUGUUUGGCUACUAAGAAAAUAGAAAUGGGGAAGAACAGGAGAAGAGAGAAAAACAGAGCAAGGCUCCGUCUGUAUAUAUGCGUCUUUAUAUUCAAGAGGUGAUUUCCACCCCUUAUAUAGUCUUUACAAAAGCAAAAGCUUGUGAUUGGUUAGUUACAAGGAUAAGAAAGGAAAUUACAUCACAAAAUACAAAGGAAAAUAUCUAAAGUGGAGUCGGCAAAAGCAGAACAAAAUUCGCAACACGCAUGGGUUAUGUGAAUUUUGAAGGUGUUAUGCGAAUUUCGCAUAACCUGGAGCAGUUGGUUUCCGAAGGCCAUAUCUUCCUCAUUUCAACUCCAAAUCAUGCACGGUUUGAAGCGUUGGAUUCUUGACUUCCAGAGCUUUGAAAUGGUAUAUAGCAUGUAAAAAAUGGACUUCGGGAAGUGCUCCAAAAGUGCGAAAGAAGACUACAGCUGCUGUCCUCUUUGCUUCUCUUCACUUUGCUUGCUUUUCCACUUUUCCAUUGUUCUUUCCUUGCAUACUUUGAACGACUUUGGCAAAGGGCUAUGAAGCUCCAAAGCUUGGUUCUUCAUGAAUUUGAGCUUCCAAAAGCUUUGCCAUAACUUGUCCAAGUAGCUCCUCCAUCAUUUGGCAUGCUUGAAUUGAUUCAUAAGCUGAUAAAAACAUGUAAACUUGCCACAAAAUGGUUAAAACCAAUUACUAAGGACCUUAAUGAAUUAAUUGGGUUAAAUGAAUAUGAUUACUACUCAAAGGUGCUUAAAACCAUUAUAAUUAGGUCUACAAAAUAGCACUUUUUGGUAGUAAUCAGGGCCCUCAGCCCAUAGAUGGGACAAUCGUUUUCCCCCCAAUAAACCCCACACGGAUAUUACAACCUCACCGCGACGCCCUCAUCCUAUCCCUGGGGAUGAGGGACUUCGACGUGAGACGCAUCCUAAUUGACCCGGGUAGCUCGGCCGAUCUUUUACAAGCAUCGGUAAUCAGCCACAUGGGACGCGAUCUAUCCGGCCUCGAAAACCCUGGGCGAAUCUUGUCCGGAUUCAACGGAGCAGCAACUACUUCCUAGGAAGAUAUUGUGCUGCCGGUCCAAGCAAGCUCAGUCACUCUCAACGUACAAUUUUCUGUGCUACAAGAUUUAUCACCCUUCAAUGCUAUCUUGGGGUGCACAUGGCUGCACUACAUGAAAGUCAUCCCCUCUACGUACCAUCAAAUGGUAAGCUUUCUCACUGAGGACGGGCAAAUCGACCUAUACGACAGCCAGUUAGCCGCUCGCCAAUGCUAUCAGAUAGCGCGAGAAGUAGGGACCAGCCAGGAGGAUAAACCCCUUCCUGAGCCCACCCACGCACUUGACCAAUAGCAAUUACUGAGUCCUACGGACAAAGAUCCCCCGACAGCGGAUCCCUUGCGGACGAUCCAGAUAUCGGAAGAAAGUACUCACCUCACACAUAUCAGUUCCCUUUUGACACUGGAAGAAGCCAAAAACAUCCAAGAUGCUCUCCAACAAAGCCAUGACGUUUUUGCAUGGGCGCAUUCUGAUAUGAAGGGAAUUCACCCCUCUAUCGUCUCUCAUAGGCUUAACAUCUUGCCAACAGUAAGACCCGUCCGACAGAAGAUCAAACGUUUCCACCCAGACAGGCAAAAGAUUAUCAGGGAUGAGAUUGACAAAUUGCUGGAAGCCGGAUUCAUUAGAGAUGUGGAAUAUCCUGACUGGUUGGCAAAUGUGGUAGUGGUCCCCAAAAAGGAAGGCAAGUGGUGGGUGUGCGUCAAUUACACCAACCUCAAUAAUGCAUACCCAAAAGACAGUUUCCCUCUACCGCGGAUAGACCAAAUUGUAGACUCCACCGCCGGACAAGGAAUGCUCUCCUUCUUGGAUGCCUUCUUCGGAUACCACCAAAUCCCCAUGGCCCUGGCCGACGAAGAAAAGACAGCCUUCAUAACGCCGCAUGGGCUUUAUUGCCACAAAGUUAUGCCAUUCGGACUCAAAAACGCUUGCGCCACCUAUUAGAGACUGAUGACGAAAAUCUUCAAACCUCUAGUCGGCCCCACAAUGGAAGUGUACAUCGAUGAUAUCGUGGUUAAAAGCAAAACCCAAGGGGAACAUGCCCUCCACUUGCAAGAAGUCUUCCACCUCGUAAGGAAGUAUGGCAUGAAGUUGAAUCCAUCCAAAUGCGCUUUUGGUGUAAGUGCUGACAAAUUCCUGAGAUUUAUGGUCAGCCAAAAGGGGAUAGAGGUUAGCCCAGAUCAAGUUAAGGCAGUCAUGGAAACACCACCCCCUAGGAGCAAAAAGAAAUUACAGCGCCUCACAGGCAAGUUCGUCGCGCUAGGACGCUUUAUAGCCCGUUUCACUGAUGAAUUGCGACCCUUCUUCCUAGCAAUACGAAAAGCCGACGCAAACGGGUGGACGGACGGCUGCCAAAACACUUUCGAAAAAAUCAAACACUACCUCAUGCAACCACCCAUUCUAACCAGCCCCCUCCCUAGAGAAAAAUUGUAUAUGUAUCUGGCUGUAUCAGAGUGGGCAAUCAACGCUGUUCUAUUCCGCUGCCCCUCGCACAAGGAGCAGAAACCUAUUUACUACGUCAAUAGAGCGUUGGCGGACGUAGAAAUAAGGUACUCAAAGAUGGAGCUAACGGUUUUGGCCCUUCGAAGUGCCACCUAGAAGCUCCGCCCUUACUUCCAAGCCCACCCGAUGGUCGUGCUGACCGACCAACCCCUUCGCAACAUCCUGCACAAGCCGGACCUAACCGGAAGAAUGCUUCAAUGGGCCAUAGAGUUGAGCGAGUAUGGAAUUGAAUUCCAACCCAAGUUGUCCAUGAAAGGGCGGGUAAUGGCCGACUUUGUGCUGGAAUACCCCCAAAGACCUGCCCAACACAAGGAACCAUGCGGGGAAGAGUGGUGGACUUUGCAGGUUGAUGGAGCCUCCCGGUCAUCAGGAUCCAGAGUAGGGCUCCUGCUGCAAUCCCCAACAAGAGAACAAUUGGAGCAAGCUAUCCGACUAGGAUUCCCCGCAUCUAACAAUGAAGCAGAGUAUGAGACCAUCCUAUCCGGGUUAGACCUAACCCUGGCCCUGUCUGUUUCCAGGCUCCGAUUCUACAGUGAUUCCCAACUCGUUGUAAGGCAAGUCCAGAAAGAAUACGAAGCUAAGGAUGAGCGCAUGGCGCGAUAUCUGACUAAAGUAAGAGACAUCCUACAACGGUUCACUGAGUGGAUGAUCGAAAAAAUUAAACGAACUGAAAAUGGACGUACCGACGCCCUGGCAGGCAUAGUUGCUUCCCACCCUAUCAAAGAAGCCAUAUUAUUGCCCAUACAUGUGCAAACCAACCCCUCCGUCGCAGAAGCCUCCACUUGCAAUACCAUUAAGGCAAACCAAGUAGACGGCCAAGACUGGACGGAAGUCAUAAUAAGGUAUCUUUGGAUAAGCACUUUGCCCGAAGAGCCCAAGCAGGCACAUAAGACCCGGGUACAAGCAGCCCGUUUCACCCUAAUCGGGGGGCACCUGUACAAGCGGUCCUUUAUAAGCCCCUACCUCAGGUGCCUAGACCACUCAGAAGCCCUGUAUGUGUUGGCUGAGUUACAUGAGGGGGUGUGUGGAAAUCAUUCCGGAGGUCGAUCUCUAGCGCACCGGGCUCACUCGCAAGGAUAUUAUUGGCCCACGAUGAAAAAAGAUACGGCAGCUUAUGUCAAAAGGUGUGACAAAUGCCAAAGGCAUGCCCCCAUACCGCAUGCGCCGUCGGAGACAUUAAAACCAAUUUCUGGCCUCUGGCCCUUCACGUAGUGGGGCAUGGACAUAGUAGGACCCCUACCAACCGCAGCUGCUCAGAAGAAAUUCCUACUUGUCGCCACAGAUUACUUCAGUAAAUGGGUGGAAACUGAAGUAUAUGUCAACAUCAAGGACAAAGAUGUCACCAAGUUUGUAUGGAAGAACAUCAUCUGCCGCUUUGGAAUCCCUCAAACCAUUAUAGCUGACAACGGCCCACAGUUUGAUAGCAUCACUUUCCUGAAUUUCUGUUCGGAACUCAACAUCCGGAAUUUAUACUCCACACCGCGUUAUCCUCAAAGCAUUGGACAAGCAGAGGCCACAAACAAAACCCUAAUAACUGUCUUAAAGAAGAGGCUCGAGCAAGCCAAAGGGAAGUGGGUAGAAGAGCUACCCGGCGUCCUGUGGGCUUAUCGAACCACACCCGGACGACCGACAGGAAAUACUCCCUUCGCCCUCACAUAUGGUAUGGACACAAUCAUUCCUACAGAAAUAGGGCUACCCACUAUCCGGACCGAGACAGGACGGCAGGGUGAUGCAAAUGCGGAACUAGGAAGAAAUUUGAACUGGGCGGACGAAGUAAGAGAGAGCGCAUCCAUCCGGAUGGUCGAUUAUCAACAAAGGGCAACCGCUCACUAUAACCGCAAGGCAAGACCCAGGAGCUUCAAAAGUGGAACGCUGGUCCUUAGGAAGGUCUUCGAAAACACUGCUGAGACAGGAGCAAGAAAGUUCCAAGCCAAUUGGGAAGGCCCCUACAUAGUAUCCAAGACAAGUGAAAGCGGAGCCUACCAUCUACAGAAGCUAGACGAAACCCCGCUGCUUCGUCCAUGGAAUGUAUCCAAUCUUAAGCAGUAUUAUCAAUGAAAGGAAAUGAAGAGAAAGCACUACCAGCAGAAAUGCAGAAGGAAGAAAUGCAAGUGUAGGGGGCUCGGUCUGCUAUUUAAAGAGAGACAGCCCCUCGGUAUUCCAAACGCCCAGCCGUGUCGUUAUUGAAAAGACAUGCUGCUUGGGAAUUCCCAAGGACGGCGGCUCGUCAUAAAUGCCCUUUUUCCUUUUCGCCUCCGCACCACCACGUGGCCCAAUAAGCGCAAAAAAGUAACCUAAGUUUCAAAACCAUCAUUUUUUAACCCACCCAUUUUGCCCGGGCAAAAUCGCCAAGUUAAAAGGGGGGCAUUGUAGGGACCCCCCCUCCCCCCGAUGACACGUGGCAUGCACCGCUAUCUGGAUCAACUCUAUCCGUACCCCCCAAGAGGACAUGUGGCGCGCACCUCUAUCCGAGUCCCCUAGGGGGGGCAUACGGCACUCUCAAAUAUCAUACCCAGGCGAUGCUCUAUCCUAUCCGGACCUAUUGUCCGGAUCAUUGACUGUAACGAGCAAGCCUUGCUGAGUCAUCCCCGACAACCUGCCACAGCCCACGUUCCGCCGCCUGUAGAGCGAAAGGACAGGAACGAUAACAAGUCACCUCCCACGAUCUCUGACAACCGCCUGCAGGGUGAUGAUGACCCUGCCACCACCUUGAGGAUAUCAUGACAAGCCAAAAAGUCUUCCCACCAUUAAAGAGGGGAGCAAAGCUUCUGACAUUAUAUAAAAGGGUCUUCACACAAGGAAGAAGGUAAGCCUGAGACCCUAAAAAAGCCAAUAGUCUGAUCUCUUAAGCCAUGACUAACAAAACCAUUGGAGGGUGUGUCCGGACAUCCUGUCCGGACAUCUUUUGCAGGAUCGACUGAGCUAGAACUUCUUCUUGGUUGAUAGCACGCGUCCACUUGGCAGUAGCAGGGAUCCCUGGGACACGAGGUAUCAACAACCCCUACCAAGUUUUCAUGAGUUUACUUUGUUUCAAGUUGUUUGUGUAGAUGCAUGCGUACUAGUUAAGUCAUCAUCUCUAAUUUCCAAAAAAUAGACAAAGAAAGAAAGACAAUUGGAGACAUAGCCCAUGAGUAGGUGUUGUCGUCGACUGUUAACUAGCAAGACCAAUGGGGUACGGAUGAGAGCCUAAUCAUAAUGGACUUUUGGCGGGAACAGGGAAAGGGUUCGUGGUUGAUUGCCUUGGGACAUGGUAGUUAAUAUUAAGUUCCGUGUCUUAUUGUUUCUUGUUAAAUCGUUUCAUUCUAGGAAAAUACUAAGGCUAUGUUUAGUCUUAAAGAUUUUGAGGGAAAGUGCGAGGGAAAGAAAAUACAGAAAAAAAAUGGAAAAAAAUAAAAAAUAAAAUAAAAUAAAAAAAUAAAUUCAAAAUUAAUAAAUUAUUUUUAUGUGUUUUUUCAAACUCAUUUCACUUCAUUUCCUUCGGAUUAAAUAAUUUUAAAAUAUAUAAAUUUAUAACUAAUUUUAAUUAUAUUUAAUUUUCUUUAAAAAAUUUUAUAGUGAAACCAAACAUAAGAAAAUCAUUUUCUUUUACAUUUUUUUUCUUUCCUUAAUACUUUUCGAGAACCAAACAUAACCUAAGAGUCUAUUGUUUGAAUUGGUUUUAAGAACAUUCUUUUCUUCUUUUCUUGUUUUCCCUAAAAGUAUAAAACCAUUCUUCGAGUAGAAAACAUUUUGAGAAUUUGUUCAAGAGUAGGGUAUAUUUUGAUCAUUUUCAUUUAUUUUUUUAGAAAUUAUUUUUAAAAACGAUUAUAUAAAUAAAGAGAAUAAUUAAAAAUAAAGUAUUAUAGAUAAAAAUUAUUUUUUAAGUAAAAUUUAAAAAUAUAAAACAUAGGUUAAAUAAUAUUGUAAGUUCUUAAUUCUACUUUUGUUUUAGAAACUUUAUAAACUUAUUUUAAAAUAUUGUUCUUAAAACUUGUUUUUUGAAAACUGUUUUGAAACUUCCCCCAAGGACUAUAAGUUGAUAUAUACUUAUCGAACUUCUCAUUUUUAUCAUUAAAAGAGUGUAAAAAAAAUCUAAACUGUGAAAUAAAGAUAUAAAUAAUGAAAUACAAAUAAUAAGAUCAAUAAAUGAGAUCAUAUUCAAAAUAAUAGGUAUAAAAAACUUAAAUAUACAUAUAGUAGGAUUAAAUUAGUGACACUUAUAGGUAUGUCUUUUGUUUGUUUGUUUUUAUUUUUUAUAUAGUAAAGAUAUACAUAUUUGGAAGUAUUCAUAAUUUUAAAAAAAAUAGUAAUUUAAUAUAUUUUCAAGUGUAUCAAAAUUCCAAAGUUAAUUAAAUUAUUAUUUUAUAUAAUUAAAAUAAAAAAUGUGAAACAUAGGAAAUUAGUAAGUAAAUAAUAAUUAAGGUUUAUGUUUGAUUAUUAAGAAAAUGGUAGAAAAUUUCUUAUGUUUUAUUAACUACUGAUUUAUUUAUAUGUGGUAUAUCUUUUUGGAUUUAUAGAUUUGUUAUUCAUAUGUGAAUUUAAUUAACAAAAAUAAUUUAUAAUUUUUUUUUUUUUUUGGAGAAGAAUAUUAAAUCCUAUUUUUUACUUUUUAAAAGUAAAUUUAGUUAUAUUUUGAGCAAAGAGAAAAACAAGAUUUGGGUAUUAUAGAAAUUAAAGUUAAAAAGAUGAGAAAAGAGAGAACAGACUUUUUAUUUUUUAUAUUAAGAUGAAAAUCAAUAAAUACUUAGAAGCUGGAAGAGAAAGGAACAGGCAAAGGAGGAGAAAUUGUCAUUUCCCUGACUUUUGACUUAUACAUGAAUCAUGAUAAAUUUAAUGAGUUUCCGGGACUUCAUUUAUAGGCUGUUGGGUUUGUUGACUAAGUGCCGAUUGAAAAUGAAUUAAAUAUUGGAUUUGCGUACAGGGAAAGCCACUUAGCGAUAGAUUAUUUACAUUAGACUCGGUCAGUUACAUUGCCACCCACCGGCUCCCAUUACAUUCCAACAGAAGCUUCUUUUCCUUGGAAAAGGCUUCACGACUCUCCAAAUCUUUUCAAAGAUCCACCGUUUAAUUUUAUUUUCAUGAUUGAGAAAGGAAAUUAAUUUCAUCUCAUCUCCAUCUCCAUAUCCAUAUCCUUCUGAAUCAUUCGAAAUCGCUCUCUCUUGCAAAAUGCAUCUCCAUCUUUUUCCAGUUUUCCUUAUCCUCCUGUUCAUGUUCAUGGUCCCUGUUCCGAGGGUUGUGUGCGAGGAAAAUCAACAAUUCGUCAACUGCGGCGCACAGUAUGAGUGCGGGAAUAUGAAUAUUAGUUAUCCUUUCUGGGGAGGGAGCCGCCCUCCUUACUGUGGCCAUCCAGGGUUCGAGCUGACUUGUAAUGGUGAAGCCCCGGUGUUUACAAUGAAGGAGGCGAGUUACCGAAUCCUGGAUAUCAAUAACUCAUUCCAUACUCUCACCGUUGCUAGGGCGGAUUACUGGGAUAGUUACUGCCCUCCUACAUAUGUUAACACUACUCUGAAUGAAUCCAUUUUUAGUUAUAAUGCCACCUAUACGGACGUGACCCUCUACUAUGAUUGUCCCCAACUUACUAUCGCGCCUUCCAACCAGUUCAAUUGCACCAAUAUCAUUGGUUACUAUACAACACUGGAUUUUAACCUUGGCGUAAGCAUAGGGAGUUGCGAUGUGUAUGUGACAGUUCCGAUUUUCAAGUCAGCAGCUACCGCUAUAGUGAGCGGUGGAGGUACACUGACUCUUCUUACAGAAGCUCUUAAGGGUGGUUUCGGGUUGGAGUGGAAUGCCAGUAAUAGUUUGUGUACAGAAUGUGUUGAAUCCGGUGGGCGGUGCGGCUAUACCUCCAACCAAUUCAUAUGCUAUUGUCGGAAUGGGUAUUCUCCCUCCACUUGCCAAAACAAAACAAGCCCAUCAGGUAUGUAUAGAAACAACUUCAUCAGAUAUAUAGCUUUCGUCUGACAAACAUGCAUGCCACCCAUCAUCACUUUCCUCAUUAUUGUGUUUUCUGGAGGCACCUUAGAUUUAAUUUGUUUUGGGAAGAGCCAGUUUAAGGGAGAGUAGCUUUCCUUUGGAAUUUGAGGGAAAUAUGGUUUGCUUGUUCCCGAGCCACACUGAAUCCUCAAUUUUUCCACACCCUGGAACAUCCCCAAUUAACACCACUUUUAUCAUUUUUUUUCCACCAUUCUUUUAGAUUAAUUGCAUAUUGAUUGAAGGAGGAACCUUUCUCUGAGUCUAUAUUCAAAGGUCCUGUCCCUUGAGGUUGCAGAAUAUGAAUCCUUCCAUUUUAAAAUUAGAAUUUGACAAGUCACCAUGCAACUACCCUCUUUAUUGAGUCCAGAACUGGUCAAAUGUAAAGUAAAUGGUAUUUGCUUUUAAAAUUAUUGGUAAGGAUACGAAUCACCAAAAUAAAAAAUAUAAGAAAAUUGCUUUUAAGAUAUCUUUUUUUUUUUUUCUUUUUUUUUUCCAAUUAGCUUAUUGUUUAGUUGUUUAGUUGUUGGCAUAUAUAUAUAUAUCCUGUUAGACUGGUAGAUGGGGAUAAACUAAUGCUAAUUGAUUUGCAUCUUAAAGGUUUGGGUAUUUAAGUAAUUUACCUUUGGUAUAGAAAAAUGGUUUCACAUUAUAAUAGUUUUUAAGUCGAGAAGAAAACAAAGCUCGAGUCCUUCUAUCACUUUCUUUGGUUUGUCUUCACCAUGGAUGAAGUCAAUUCACUUCCACAAUCUCCGGUAUUUUCCUUGAAAUAACCCAACUCCUGUUAUCCAUCAGCUCGUCUCACACUCUCUAUCCCCUGUUGCCCACAAUGAAUUCCUUGUUUUUCUCAUCUCCACCAUCUCUAGGCCUCUUCCUUUUAUUGGUGUUGGUUUUGUUCGAUUUUCCUGUCUUUAGGCAACCCUGCUGAAUUGCACAAAUACAAUACCUGUAGUAAAGAGUUCAACUACGGCAACAUCACAGGCGUGAGUUAUCCUUUCUGGGGAUUUGACCGGCCCUUGGGUUGUGGGCAUCUUGACCUGCAACUCAAUUGUCAUGAUGGUAUAGCAACCAUAGAGAUUAAGGGCGUUAAUUACCGUGUUUUGAGUUUCAAUAAGGAUGCUCAAACUCUAAGAAUCGCAAGACAGGACUACUUGAAGGGAAUUUGCUCGCCCCUUCUUGUUAACACUACGCUGGAUCCCAAACUCUUUGAUCAUACAGCGGCUCACCAGUAUGUCACAUUUUUCUAUGGUUGCCCCUCUCCUGCAAUAUCUGUUAUGCCUCAAAAAUUUUCUUGUUCCAUAGCUGGGAUUCCUCUGGAGGAUGGUUACUACAUAGCUGGACCACAGCCUCAGGGUCCUGGAGCAUGCAAUGUCAGCGUGUUUGUUCCAGUUCUUGUAACAUCGCUUGUGGAAGAAAUUGUAAGCUUAAAUUUGGAUCAAUUAAUUGAAGGAGUGAUUGGAAAAGGAUUUGAGGUGAGAUUGAAUGUGGAUAGUAGAGCAUGAAGUGAGAGCCUGGAAUCCAAGGGAGUAUGUGGUUAUGACCUCGGUUUGAAUCAAACGACUUGCUACUGCAAAGAUCAAAUUCAAGCCUCCAAAACAUGUACUUCCCCAACAGGUGACGUCGGAACACCCCAGGAAUCUUCCCCUCCAGGUACGCAUCAUGACUUGCAAUCCACCAGCUACGGGAGGUAGGAAUACUUCUUCUGGAGGGGUGAAGAACUGUCCUGCAAUUGCAGAACCCUCUGUGAUCAAAAUUAUAGAAGAAAUUGGAGAUCAAUUCUAAUCAACUAGUUCUUGAAUUUGAUUAGGAUCAUCCUAUCCGUUCAAUAACUAAUUAUAUGAAGAUUGACUAUGUAUUAGGUAGAGGACCAAGCAAUAAGUAACUCUAUAACCCUUGUGGGACCAGAAGAGUCCAAUGCCCUUGGUACGGGUGAUGAAACCAUUACAGAC
rnacentral:lncRNA from 1 species